ensembl:lncRNA
GCGUGUGCAUGUUUUUAGAUUGUAUUAAUGGCUCUUGGAAGUAGGCCAAUAUUUGUUUAUUCAAUUCACCAAUUGGCAGGAGAAACUCAUGUAAUGUUUUUAAUAACCUUCUGAUGUCUCUCAUAGGCCCACUUCCUCAGAUCAUAAAAAGUGCAUAGGAGAGAUCAGGGAAAAGUUGUAACAUGGUCAGUUUAACCAAUUAGAAAUGAGCUACAAGGGUUUCAGAGUGAAAACGAUUUGAGCAUGAAUAUAACCGUUUAACAUUUGAAUUGUGUGGUUGUGUGUGUGUAUUUAUAGAUGUAUGCAUGCAUGUAUGUAUAUGUUCCUGUGGCUCAAGUGGUAGAACAUUGCAUUAGCAGCACAAGGUUGUGGGUGCGAUUCCCAGGGAACACAUUAGGUAAAAUCUGUCUGCCUGAAUGCACUGUAAGUCACUUUGAAUAAAAGCGUCUUCUAAAUGCAUUAAUUUAUAUAUAUAUAUAUAUAUAUAUAUAUAUAUAUAUAUAUAUAUAUAUAUAUAUAUAUAUAUAUAUGUAUAUAUACGAUUAUGGGAAAUGAAAUCUGAUUAACAAGGGUGUAGAAGCACCUAACCCUGACUGUCGAAAACAGAUAUUUCCUAAAAAGUUAUAUCUCAAUUCUGAUUGGUUGAUUGGAAUGUUAAAAAUGCAAAAAAAUAAAUAAAAAAAUAAUAAUAAUAAUUACAACCAGUGCAAAUAACUCAACAACAGAUUAUUAAAUGACUAAACAAUAAGACAAGCGGUCUGAGGAUAUGCAGCGAAUUCAAGAUUUGGAAACUAACCCAAGCACUGCAAUUCAAAUGCACAGUCACGUUUCUUGAGCAAAUGAAAACAGCGGGUUCUUGUAAUCCAGUGGAAGCCUAUCCAAACAGCUCCAUAAGCGAUACCUCACUGAAGGAGGGACUUCUCAGAGCCUGCGUAGGUGAGUGAGCGAGUGCCUACUUCACAGUUACUUAGAGCCUGGGACUACACUUCCACUUAUUCCUCCGGAUUUUCAAAUUGGUAUUUGCAAGAAGGAAAACAAUCACGCAGACCGCACGCGCACUCGAUCCGCUCCAGACGCCAUGAAGAAUCCCGUGUACUGGGUCGCCCUGGCUGGAAUAUCCAUCGCUUUGAUUCAACAAGGAUGAUGAACAACAGCCUUGCACCGAUGUCCCCUCCAGCACAGGCCAGUUCUCCAACAGUUGUCCAGAACCACAAAACAAGAUGCCAUCCUCUUAGGUGGGCUGUGCAAUAAAUGUAAAGGACCCGUCGACAUCUGAGGAAAAAGCAGAGAAAUAAUGAAUUUAGAUUCAAAUGGCAACUUGACGCUUUGUACAAAUUAUUCCCAUCACUGCUGUAAAUUGCUCUAAAGUGAGAUAAAUUCUCCAGUGUACACAAUACAGUUGAUGUGGGGUGAAAGAAGAAAAAGGCUGCAUAAAUAUCAACAGAGUGUUUAAUCCCUCAUGCCCGCUUCGUUUGCUGUGAAAUUCUCGUUCGCAACAUGCUGAAGCGUUUCUAAUCCAUCAGUUCUUCGGGUUUUCAAAGGGAGGUCCCUGAAGGUUCACUAGGAGGUCUUUUGGAAAAGACACGUAAAACAUUGAAUUUUUCUUAAAUUUCUUUGGGUUUUCAACCAGGGGUUCACAGAUCGUGAAAUUACCUUCAGGGGGUCCACGGAGAAAGAUACAGAGAAAGCAAAGGAACUUUAAGUAAUUUUUGAGCCUUAAAUACUGUAUUAAUUUUAAUGUUCUUAAUCCUCUGGAGUCGAUUCACGCGUAAACGCGUGAUGAAGCAUUUUCUCCUGAUAUCCCCGAAAAAAUCUUAAAUUACACUUUGUUUUGAUCAAAGGGUCUAAAGGGUAAAGGGUCUACUUUUAUUUGUGUACAGACAUAAUAACAACAAAACUGCAUUUAUAAAAUAAAGAUAAACAAGGUGUGCUGUCUGCAGCCCCUAAGCAAGUGUUAUCAAAAACAAAUGUUGUGUGAUCAAGUAAUCCAUAUGAAAACAACGCAAUGUCCAUUUUGAAGUGCGUGGCUUGAAUAUGCCUACACAACAGAAGACAACGCAGCGAGACUGUUCUUAAAGGUUUUUUAUUUUACUGUUUGCGUCGCGUUAAAGGAAUAAGACAUAAUUCACCCCAAGAAGAUGUGAUGAGGAUUACCUCAGGAUUUCAGAUUUGGAUUUCCUCAGAAAAAAGUUUUUUUUUUCAUAGAAAGUAAGUGUGUGACUGGAGCAAUGAUGCUAAAAAUAUAUAAAAUAUAAAACAGUAUAUAGUGAAACUUGUAUAUAAUUUUGUACAAUAUGAAACUGUAAUAUGGUUGUAUAGUAAUUUUUUUAUUUCAUAUGUUUUAUGCGGUGCCAGUGGAAUGGUAGGUUAAAGUCCUACACCAUUAUCAUGAAGGUUUCCGCCUUAAAUCCCACUUGUGGUAAAUUUCUGGAGUGGUAUUAUGUCCUUAAGCACAAUAUUUAACCUCAGUCAGCUCCAGAGAUCCUUGGACAGCCGCCCUGUGCUGUGCCCUUUCUCUCCAUCCUCAUUUUAAAUGGUAUGCCUUAAGCGCUCGGGACACCGAAAGCAAAGAAUACUUAAUAAGAGUUAUUAACGCUUAAGCUUCAUUCCAGUAAUUUAAUCUUUACUGACAGUCUAUACUGCUUAUUGGAUUCUUGUUUGAUUUUUCUUGCCAUUUGAAAACCUAUUGGAUAAGAUGCCAGCAUUGUAGCGUUAGCGAUCCAUCUCAUCAGGACAGUGUGACAGAUUAAUGGCCAAUCAUGGCCAGGUCUUACGGGGCGUUUUCUUGUUCAAAUAAGAAUAUAUGGGGUGAAGAAGUGGGAAUGAGCAUCCCUCCUCCUGCUUGUCUGAUAGAUUGACUGCUUGACACCGUCCUGACCUUCUCUCUCUCUCUUUGAUAGAGCUUGUCCAUUUCUCUACAUCCCAUCUCUAAACGCUGUGUCCACUGAACAGUGCUAACAUGGGAAUAUUGUCCGCUUUCCUAUUAAACUGUGAAGAAAGAGCUCUACUUGACCUCAACCUGUUCUAGGUUUGAAGAGCAGCAGUGGGCUACUCAUUGGAUCAGAAUGAAUAUCGGUAUAAGCAGUAACUCUCUGACAGAAUACAGACACGCUUUAACACUCCUGAAUCCCCUCUGGUUUUCAACUUUUUUUUUUUUGUUGACUUUGAUAUAGGUUUUCGAUUAAAUU